CAAAUGUCAGCUGUCGUUCAAUCAUUCAUAGAAGUGAAGUUCAGUUAACAGAACUGCAGAAACAUAAGAAGAAAUGCGUCAGUUGUUGACAGAAGACUUGCAGAACAAACAAGUAAUUAACUAUUAUAGAGGGCAGCGGAAGACUUGCAGAAAUGAGGUGUGACACUAGAAAAGAGGAAUCUACCAAUUAAAUGUUGGUCUUAGACUAUAAUUAACACUAGAUCUCCAACUUCUAGGCUAUCGGAAGUUAUAUCAUACUGAUAUACUGUCACCACAAAGUGUCUUUAGUGUCACGUUAUAAGAGGGAAGCUAAUGACAAGUAAAAUCCCGACUAAUACUUGAGAACCAUGUUGCUAUCACAACCAGAAGAUCAACACCUCAAAUUCUCAUUAAAACAACAAAAGCUCAUUGACCUCCAGCAUCAAGGAAUAUCAAUCACUCAAAUUCCGAAACACUCCACAACUAUAAACCGUAGUUUCUGAAUGCAGUCAGUCGCUGUUGCUCCCGAAUUGUUCCAACCACAGCAUGGAGGAAGAGUUGCAGCAGUAGCAUGGAGGAAGAAAGGCUCAGUUCUGGAGGUAAAAGCCAGCGGCGCGAUGAAGUUCAGUUUGGCCAUGGGAAGAAAGUCAGCGCCAGUGGAAGCUGAAUGCAC
rnacentral:rRNA from 1 species